UCGAGCGAUUUACUUCGGUAAAGAGCGGCGGACGGGUGAGUAACGCGUGGGUAACCUGCCCUAUACACACAGAUAACAUACCGAAAGGUAUGCUAAUACGAGAUAAUAUAAGAGAUUCGCAUGGAUUUCUUAUCAAAGCUCCGGCGGUAUGAGAUGGACCCGCGUCUGAUUAGCUAGUUGGUAAGGUAAUGGCUUACCAAGGCUUCGAUCAGUAGCCGACCUGAGAGGGUGAUCGGCCACAUUGGAACUGAGACACGGUCCAAACUCC
rnacentral:rRNA from 1 species